UCAUGUAACACGUAGUCAACAUGCCCAGGGGACGUGGAUAACCUCGGGAAACUGAGGAUAAACCGCGAUAGGUCACUACUUCUGGAAUGGGUAAUGACCCAAACCUAUAUGGCCCCUGGAUUGGACUGCGGCCGAUCAGGCUGUUGGUGAGGUAAUGGCCCACCAAACCUGUAACCGGUACGGGCUCUGAGAGGAGGAGCCCGGAGAUGGGCACUGAGACAAGGGCCCAGGCCCUAUGGGGCGCAGCAGGCGCGAAACCUCUGCAAUAGGCGAAAGCUUGACAGGGUUACUCUGAGUGAUUUCCGUUAAGGAGAUCUUUUGGCACCUCUAAAAAUGGUGCAGAAUAAGGGGUGGGCAAGUCUGGUG
rnacentral:rRNA from 1 species